rnacentral:rRNA from 1 species
ACCUUACCUGGUCUUGACAUAUCUAGAAUCCUGCAGAGAUGCGGGAGUGCCUUCGGGAAUUAGAAUACAGGUGCUGCAUGGCUGUCGUCAGCUCGUGUCGUGAGAUGUUGGGUUAAGUCCCGCAACGAGCGCAACCCUUGUCCUUAGUUACCAGCGGGUUAAGCCGGGAACUCUAAGGAUACUGCCAGUGACAAACUGGAGGAAGGCGGGGACGACGUCAAGUCAUCAUGGCCCUUACGACCAGGGCUACACACGUGCUACAAUGGUAGGUACAGAGGGCAGCUACACAGCGAUGUGAUGCGAAUCUCAAAAAGCCUAUCGUAGUCCAGAU